rnacentral:lncRNA from 1 species
UAUCUAUCUAUCAGGGAUACCCUGCUGGUUACAUGGCUAGGGAUAUGCAGGGAAAAGGAAGGGUAGCUGGGAUUAUCUUUCCAGCCUGCCUUUAAAAAGACCCAAGCUGAUGCUGGCUUGUUCUCUGGGUAGGAUCUUUAAGUCAAUGAGCCUCACAAGAAGUCCAGGAGGGUAAGCAAGGUUGGAGCACUGGCUGGUCAGGCUCCAAGGCUAUGACUCCUUUUCUCUGGUGCUGUGGAGGCUGAGUGUCCCUGUACGUGGCUCCUCCAGUAUCAGACUCUGCAGGCACUGAUGGGGCUUGGAGAGCAGCACCUUCUUGGAAGAAUCUUGUGUGAGGUGAGGUCCAUGUGCGUUUGUUGGAACCCUGUCCUCAAGAGAUCCACCAUCCUGUCUUCCACAGAGGCUCCUCCAGUCCUCCAGUGUGUGUGUGUGGACUACCUCUUGUUGGAAAUCUCCCUUUUCCCUCUGACAUCACCAUCUUUCUAGAGUAAUAAAUCACUGCAGUUUAAAAG